rnacentral:rRNA from 1 species
AUGAGAUAUCUCGGACUGCCACUAACCAUCCGGAAGCAAUCGGCUGCGCAGUUGCAAGGCCUGGUGGAUCAUAUCGCUGCUUGCCUGCCCACUUGGUGUGCUGCGACCCUACCGAAGAGCAGUAGGUUGAUCCUCAUCCAAUCGGUCCUCUCAGCGAUGCUAGUGCAUGCAAUGUUGGCCAUGGAAUUACUGGCGAAGACAACCAAGGCGAUCAACAAGAUCUUACGAGGAUUCCUCUGGUGUGGCAAGGCGGAGGAAAACAGGGGAAACUGCGCGGUGGCCUGGAACGCAGUUUGCACGCCCAAGUAG